rnacentral:misc_RNA from 1 species
GAUGAAGAACGCAGCGAAAUGCGAUAAGUAAUGUGAAUUGCAGAAUUCAGUGAAUCAUCGAAUCUUUGAACGCACAUUGCGCCCCUUGGUAUUCCGGGGGGCAGGCCUGUUCGAGCGUCAUUACAACCCUCAGGCCCCCGGGCCUGGCGUUGGGGAUCGGCGGAGCCCCCCGUGGGCACACGCCGUCCCCCAAAUACAGUGGCGGUCCCGCCGCAGCUUCCAUCGCGUAGUAGCUAACACCUCGCGACUGGAGAGCGGCGCGGCCACGCCGUAAAACACCCAACUCUUCUGAAGUUGACCUCGAAUCAGGUAGGAAUACCCGCUGAACUUAAGCAUAUCAAUAAGCGGAGGA